rnacentral:rRNA from 1 species
UACAGAGGGUGCAAGCGUUGCUCGGAAUCACUGGGCGUAAAGGGUGCGUAGGCGGGUCUUUAAGUCAGGGGUGAAAUCCUGGAGCUCAACUCCAGAACUGCCUUUGAUACUGAGGAUCUUGAGUUCGGGAGAGGUGAGUGGAACUGCGAGUGUAGAGGUGAAAUUCGUAGAUAUUCGCAAGAACACCAGUGGCGAAGGCGGCUCACUGGCCCGAUACUGACGCUGAGGCACGAAAGCGUGGGGAGCAAACAGG